AGAGUUUGAUCCUGGCUCAGGAUGAACGCUAGCUACAGGCUUAACACAUGCAAGUCGAGGGGCAGCUAUUUUAGUUUUGCUUGCAAACUAAAGAUGGCGACCGGCGCACGGGUGAGUAACACGUAUCCAACCUGCCGAUAACUCGGGGGAUAGCCUUUCGAAAGAAAGAUUAAUAUCCGAUAGUAUAUUUUCUCCGCAUGGCGAGAAUAUUAAAGAAUUUCGGUUAUCGAUGGGGAUGCGUUCCAUUAGUUUGUUGGCGGGGUAACGGCCCACCAAGACUACGAUGGAUAGGGGUUCUGAGAGGGAGGUCCCCCACAUUGGAACUGAGACACGGUCCAAACUCCUACGGGAGGCAGCA
rnacentral:rRNA from 1 species